rnacentral:rRNA from 1 species
GCUCCAAUAGCGUAUAUUAUUGAUGUUGCAGUUAAAACGUUCGUAGUCGAACUUUAUCUGCUCAGGUGUCAUUAGCGUCUAAGAUGUUAGGAUACCAUUUGCAGAGAUUGUGCAAGGGCAGCUGCUUGCAGUUACUUUUGCAUUUUACUUUGAGUGAAUCGGCGUGUUCCACGCAGGCAAUCGCCUUGAACGAUUUACCA